UGGAAUGUCUUUGUGAUGAACACACAAUGUUUCUUUGAAUGAAACUGUUUAUUUCUGCAUGUUUAUUCAUGUUCUUGAACUUUGUAAAUUCUUUUCCUCUGUCUUGGGACUGAUGGAGAGCAACCCCAGGAGGAGGGGCUUACCAAAACUGAGAAACAUUGAACUGGGAUUCCGACUGAUUAGUUCAUGGUACUGGUUUCCCGUUGGUCCUGAAUCAGAGAGUGUUUUUGCUAAUUCGGGUCCAACAUUUACAAAAUACUGAUUAAAGCUUUCAGCCACCAUCUUGUAACUUUCCCUUUCAUCAUAAAUAAAGUAUUUAGGAUAACUAUUUUUUUGGCACCCUUUUUAAUAAUUGUGUUAGGAAGGCUCCAGAUGUUUUUGAUGUUACUUUUGUUUUCAUCAAGUAAGUUAUCAUCGUUUGCUGGGUGUCUUUUUGCUGCAGCUGAGCGCUGCAGGAGUGUUGACUUGGUCUCAGCCACAGACUGCUGACAUGUUAGCUGAUGUUUCAGCUGAGUCAGCUCUUCUUUCCAAGCUGAUGUUUCCUGCAGAGAUUCCUGCAGGAGUUCCUCCUGCUCCUUCUUUCCCAGAGUUCCUGCAACCAGACGGAGUCUUUGUGCUUUGGAGCUGCUUCUCUUGGAUGAAGCGCUUGGUUAGCUCACUUUGAUCUCUUUCAUGUGGGACUUUGUCUUGAAGCGGAUCAAACUGAAGAUCAGCAGCUUCUUUGGAGGCAGAGGCAGCUGUGUGGGAAGUCUCUGCAGGUCCAGAAUCUUCUGAUGGAUCAGCAGCUGCUGCAGGUUCCUCUGGGUGGAAACACAUUUCUGCCAAACAGAACAUCUGUUUGUCUUUGUUUGGAUGGAAAACGGAGGAAAAAAACUUCUUUGGAGAGAAAUCUGCUUUGUUUCUUGUUGCUAUGAGGUUGUUGAACAAAUGUGGUCACUUUCACAGCUUCACUUCAAAUGACUUCCAAUAGACAGAAAUGAUACUUUUUAAUUUAUUAAAAUAAGUUUGUGAAACAUUUUUGAUGUUUUUUCUGUAAUUCUAGGUCUGAUGUCUUCAUACAUGAUGGCUAAAAUAACAAAAACCAAACCAAAUCAGUCAGGUCUGUAGUUUGAACUUGUAUUAGAAAUGAGAAGGGCGACACCUUCUGGCUGUAUCCAGAACUGCAUCUUCUGCUCAGAAAAGUGUUGAAAAACCUCAAUUGUGUCUGUAAAAUGUCUGCAGCUUUUUUGUCUGAAGACAUGAAUAAAGUCUGGAUUUGAUCCUUAAUGAAUCUUCAUA